rnacentral:lncRNA from 1 species
CUUAUCCGGCCAUGCGUUACACGUUUGGACGCAUCCCGAAAUCAAGUUUUGCUGGCUGCGACAACGGAUUGCAGAUCUUCUCAAUCAAACUCCUCCUCCGCAACAGACCAUCAGCUCCAGUGGCCACUUCAUGUCUAUGGCCUCGUCGCUACCAGGGACUCUCUUGAUCCUAGGCGCAACCUUCUCUUUAAUCGCACUAGAGACAACUGCCAAAUCCUUACUCAACAGGAUCCCUUUCUAGUGCUAACAGGACCGUCUCGCGCAAUUGUCUUAAUUGAUCCUGUUCAAUUUGAGGUUCAGCUCAAAGCAAAGUCCAAUAACAACACCCUGCAUGAUCAUCCUGACCAAGAUCAAAUUGUUAACUUUGGAGUGGUGGAUUCUGGCUAUCUUCCAGGCCCAACGAGGCAUUGCAUCGGCAAGCGGAGUGAGGUCGAGUUCACAAUCUCAGUGCUUGAUCGAUCAAUUGAGGCCACUAUCAUCAGCGUCCAGCUUGUUGGUGGCUCGUCAUGGCCGGAUCAUCUCCAAGGAAAGCUUGUUUCCCAUGGAAAAAUGCCUAUCGAUGAUGGCGGCUUCAUUCAGCUUUCAAGGCGUGUUGUUUCGGUAGAACUGGCUGGCCAACUCAUAGUUCAAGUGCUGGCUUUCAAUUCCCAGCAGCAAGUAGUUGACAAUGACAACGACAACAAGAAGGAUGAGAUUGUUGCAAAACACGAGAUUGUUUUUGAUCCUAAGGAAGCUUCAUUGAGUGUGGAGACGUGUGAGCUACAACUAGGAGGAGGAGGAGGAGGCCCAUGUAAGCUUCAAAUCUCUGUUGCUUGGUCUCUGGUCGAUAGGCUUCCCCCUGUUGGCUAUUUCUAA